GUAGUUGACUCCGUGGCUACAGGACGACGCUGGCGGCGUGCCUAACACAUGCAAGUCGAACGAAGCUCCCGAUCGGAUCCUUCGGGUGAAGAGAAGGAAGACUUAGUGGCGGACGGGUGAGUAACGCGUGAGCAACCUGCCUUUCAGAGGGGGAUAACAGUUGGAAACGACUGCUAAUACCGCAUAACAUAAGAUCAUCGCAUGGUGGUUUUAUCAAAGCUGAGGCGCUGAAAGAUGGGCUCGCGUCCGAUUAGAUAGUUGGUGGGGUAACGGCCUACCAAGUCGACGAUCGGUAGCCGGACUGAGAGGUUGAACGGCCACAUUGGGACUGAGACACGGCCCAGACUCCUACGGGAGGCAGCAGUGGGGGAUAUUGCACAAUGGGCGAAAGCCUGAUGCAGCAACGCCGCGUGAGGGAAGACGGUUUUCGGAUUGUAAACCUCUGUCUUUGGUGAAGAAGAAAGUGACGGUAGCCAAGGAGGAAGCCACGGCUAACUACGUGCC
rnacentral:rRNA from 1 species